UGUUUGGUAAAUGAAGUUGUUGAAUGCGAGAUAUCAUAGAGGAAAUCACAUUGGGAUCAAAUUGCCAUGUGUUGGAUUUUUCUCACAUUGGGUACAGUGAUUUUGGAAGCUAGUUUUAUACCAGACUAAAGAGCUAGCGUAUGUAGAGACUUUCUGAAUCAUGUAAAAGGUAGUCCCAAUUUCAGAAAUAUAUUGCAUUUCUUUACAGUUGUUUUGAAACACUUGAAGUCAAAUCGGUGAAUCAAAUUCAGCUCUUCCCAUACUUGUUGGAAUAUGGUGAUUAGAAAGAAAAACACUUGCAAUGAAGAAGCUGGCGCAUUCAUGAAGGCAACUUGCUGCUAGACAUUUAUAGUUUGAACGAAAAAUACUUGUAAAUUUAUAUUCCAUUGUGAUAUGUUGGAUGGUAUUAUGUAAAAUGUACACUUAA